AUUGAACGCUGGCGGCAUGCCUUACACAUGCAAGUCGAACGGUAACGCGGGGGCAACCCUGGCGACGAGUGGCGAACGGGUGAGUAAUACAUCGGAACGUACCUGGUAGUGGGGGAUAGCCCGGCGAAAGCCGGAUUAAUACCGCAUACGCACUACGGUGGAAAGCGGGGGACCGCAAGGCCUCGCGCUAUCAGAGCGGCCGAUGGCAGAUUAGCUAGUUGGUGGGGUAAGAGCCUACCAAGGCGACGAUCUGUAGCUGGUCUGAGAGGACGACCAGCCACACUGGGACUGAGACACGGCCCAGACUCCUACGGGAGGCAGCAGUGGGGAACUUUGGACAAUGGACGAAAGUCUGAUCCAGCAAUGCCGCGUGAGUGAAGAAGGCCUUCGGGUUGUAAAGCUCUUUUGUCAGUGAAGAAAACUUUAAUAAUAACACUAUUAAAGCAUGACGGUAACUGAAGAAUAAGGACCGGCUAACUACGUGCCAGCAGCCGCGGUAA
rnacentral:rRNA from 1 species